rnacentral:rRNA from 1 species
CCUUUAGAGAUAGAGGGGUGCUCGAAAGAGAGCCGUAACACAGGUGCUGCAUGGCUGUCGUCAGCUCGUGUCGUGAGAUGUUGGGUUAAGUCCCGCAACGAGCGCAACCCUUGUCAUUAGUUGCUACAUUCAGUUGGGCACUCUAAUGAGACUGCCGGUGACAAGCCGGAGGAAGGUGGGGAUGACGUCAAGUCCUCAUGGCCCUUAUAGGUGGGGCUACACACGUCAUACAAUGGCUGGUACAAAGGGUUGCCAACCCGCGAGGGGGAGCUAAUCCCACAAAGCCAGUCGUAGUCCGGAUCGUAGUCUGCAACUCGACUACGUGAAGUCGGAAUCGCUAGUAAUCGUGGAUCAGAAUGUCACGGUGAAUACGUUCCCGGGUCUUGUACACACCGCUCGUCACACCAUGGGAGCGGGUUCUGCCAGAAGUAGUUAGCUUAACCGCAAGGAGGGCGAUUACCACGGCAGGGUUCGUGACUGGGGUGAAGUCGUAACAAGGUA